GAGUUUGUCUGCCAGAUAACCUGGCGCGAGUAAUAUGCAAGUCGAGGCGAUAAGUAGCUUGCUCCUUUGUCGUUAUCGGGGACGGGUGAGUAACGUAGUAACUACCUUAGCCUGAAUAACUCGGGAACCGGAUAAUACGAAUACAUUUAAUCGCAUGGUUUAAAGUAAAGAUGGUUGCAUCACUAUAAUGGUGACGCGGUUUAGCUAGUGGUAAGGUCACGGCUUACAAGCAACAAUCGUAGCCGACCUGAGAGGGUGAUCGCCCGCUGGAACUGGCUCGGUCCAGACUCCUCGGGAGGCACAGUAGGGAAUCUCCGCAAUGGGAAAGCCUGGCGACCACCGCGUGAGUGAUGAAGGUCUUCGGAUAAAUCUGUUAUUAGGGAAGAACAAUGUGUAAGUACUGUGCACGUCUUUCGGUACCUAUCAGAGACUCGGAAGGGGGUCAAAAAU
rnacentral:rRNA from 1 species